rnacentral:lncRNA from 1 species
UGAAAUUUAGAAAUUGCCUAUUACUUUUUAUUUUGCAUUUUAAUUUUGUGACAUUUUCAUAAUUUGCCAAUUUAUAUUAAGAUUCUGAGCACCUAGUGAAACAUGAAAAUGAACUUAAGACGACAUGAGGGAUCCAUUUGUAAGUUAAGAAGAACUAAUAUUGCUCCACAGUCAGUUAAAGCAAAGUGCCAAUAUAUUGGCCAUACUCUUAGUAGGAUGGUUAGUAUGUUAGAAAGCUUAAAAAAUUUUUAAAAAUGCUACUUUAAAAGUUUUGCUUUAUCUAAGUAAGAUUCCAUUUGAUAGUGUCGAGCAAUUAAAAACCAGAUUAACAGAAAAAUUCUGCUUAAACUUGCUGAAAAUGUUGAUUUCAUUAAGUGAGUGAUACCUGUAGUGUUGCAUUUUCAGUACUUUUUAUUUCAACUUCUGUAAGAACAAAGCCCACCUAACCUCCUAAAUGUAUUAACACCACUUUUAAAAGUAAUUAAAACUAAAACAGCUAAGAUCCCAUAUAUUCUUAUCCUGCAUUUAUUUGCAAAGUAAUUAAUUUUUGUUUUUUUUGCAAAAGAGUUCUAAGAAAGCCAAGUAUCAACAGACAAAAAAGAAUGGAAAGCAUUGUAUUAGGCUUUUAAAUAUGUUAUGCUAAGCAAAGAGAACUAUGAUUUUAUCUAAAACUUUUAAGAUAGUAUAAUACCAUUUACAGCUAUAUAUAUAUUGUUAUUACAUUCUUUGGAGGUCAAGGCUGUUAUGGCCAAGCUGAAGACCCCAGGCUUUUAUUACAUGAUGACUGAAAAAUACCUCAUUCUUCCUUCUAGAAGGAAUAUUAUAAAGGAAUCAGACUUAGCA